GAUGAAGAACGUAGCGAAAUGCGAUAAGUAAUGUGAAUUGCAGAAUUCAGUGAAUCAUCGAAUCUUUGAACGCACAUUGCGCCCAUUAGUAUUCUAGUGGGCAUGCCUGUUCGAGCGUCAUUAAGUCCACUUAAGCCCUGCUUAGUGUUGGGAGACUGCUCCAGCGGUGCUACCCUGUAGCUACCCUGCAGCUCCUCAAAGACAGCGGCGGAGUUGUGGUAUCCUCUGAGCUUAGUAACUUGUUCUAGCUUUCGAGUACACCACUUCCCCUGCCAUAAAACCCUUAAUUUUUAAUGGUUGACCUCGGAUCAGGUAGGAAUACCCGCUGAACUUAAGCAUAUCAAUAAGCGGAGGA
rnacentral:misc_RNA from 1 species